CCCAAAAAUAUUCUUGGGAAUAAUUGUGCUUUGCUUUUCUCUGUGAAGAGAAAUGUGGUGACACCCUUAUUUUUCUCAUUCUUGCUAGAUCAAGGGUUUCAAAGAUCCUCUAGAUACACAAAGCAAUUCAUUUAUCUCCCCUGGACAUUUGCUUAAUGGAAGGAAGGAAAUGUCACUAAAGAAAAGCACUAUGAAAAAUGUGAUGCUGCUUUUUCUCUUUCUGGCAAGGGAUUGAUGUGGAUGUCCAGACCAACACCCAGAAACUCUAUUCAAAUGCUUCUCUGCUCUUCCCACAAUGUAGAAAUAUCCAGCUGAAUCCAAUCAAAUGCUUAAUGUGCUCUUGGCUGGUUUACACUGCUAAGCUGAUGGGAGGAUGUGCUGUUGGGCAGUGACUGCUGGGAGAACAGUGAAAUAGAAAGUGUUAAAUUAGACAUUGGUGUAAGCAAAGGAAAAAACAGCAUUGAGGAAAAUUCACAAGACCUCUGCAAAACUGAACAGCUGUACAGCUCAUCUGAACGUGAGGAUUUCCCUUACCUUAGUAAGAGACAGGCAGUAUGGUAGAAAGAUUAUUUAGAAGUUUUUCAUGGGCUUGCCAGGCUCUGCAGACCAUAAACUGCAAACCAAUGACUGAGGACACAGAAGACAGAGCCUUCCCUUUCUCAGGGGACAGUUGAGCAUAAACCAGUGCCUACUACCAGACACAGCUCCCUGCAUGGCCACAGUAACCACUCCCAGAACUCAAGGCUUUGGUUCAUGAAUUCACUGUGCUUCCACAGCAAUUCAAAGUCUACACAAGUGAUCAUAUUUUUAGCUGAUGCAAAGUUGCCAAUCAGUGACUGCACUGGAGCUCCACUGUUAUAAGCAGCUGAGAAUUGAGUGAAGUGACUUUUUGGAAUAACAAGCAUCUCUUCUGCAUUUCAGUAGGGUGUGAACUGACAGCCCUGGGUCCACUAUCACUCUAAUAAUGGAUUAAUAUAAAAUUCAGGUUCUUCUUUCAUUCUGACAUUGUCCACGCUUACAUGAUAUUAUGGAUUAAUUAUGUUGGUUUUCACUGCUAGUGUUGACUGUUGUUGCUAAUCUCAAAGUAAGAAAAGUAAAAUUGCAAGUGGUCAAAUUAAGUAUAUAUCAGAGAUUUUGUCUUUUAGUAUUGGACUGUCACAGAAAUUUUCUCCUUAAAUACUUAUUCAGCAGAGAUCUUACUGUCAAGUAGAAGAUAACCAGGCACUCUUUCAGUAGUAUUUCUGUGGGAACCAGAAUGGCUUGACUGUGUGAUUAUUUUAGCUGCUGUGUAGAUAAAAGAAAAACAUGAGCAGUGAAAUGUUGAAAAGUUUUUGAUAUUAUUAUAUGACUUCUCAACAAUUUUCUUUUUUUUCUUGCUUCUUUGUCUGGAAAUAGUGAUUAGAUAAAUUUCCCUAAGAGUAAAGCAGUUCAAGGCAAAGUUUCUGUUUUAAGUGACAGAUUUCUAUUUUCUGAGCCAGUGAAACUUCUCCACUGCUCUAAUGACAUUUACAGACAUCCUACUCAUAGCUGACAUUCCCUGCAGACCUAUAGAAAACCUGAUGACACUCCUGACCAUGUUUUCUCCAGCUUUCCUGGGUCAUUUUAGUUCUUGUGUCCAGGUUUCUGUCCUCAUUCAUAAGCUGGUUGAAGCUGCACACAGCUACCACUGCAUUUGUUAUUCUUCCUUCCCAAGGUCUCUUUUUUCCAAAGGCUGAGAUGGAUGUCUUUCUCCACUCAGCCACUCUUAAAGCUCUCUUCUGAGGGAUGUAGCCUAUCUGAACUCGGCAGAACAUGUGUGUGACAUUAAUUGUAGGACCAGUCAGCAGUUUCUGACUUCAAGAGAGUUUUACAAGUGAACAGCUGAAAAAUUUCACUCUGGACACUGGAGCCUUUGGCUCAGGCUGGAGGGGUGCAUUAUUCACGAGGUACUUUGAAAUGUGCUGGAUGGACAGUUCUGUCCUUGGUGUGGAUAACUCACACAUUGUUAUUUUCCAGUAGUGUUAAUCUGGCACCCCCUGGAGGAAGUAUAUUUCAAAACACUCAAAGGAAAGAAAUAUUUUAAAAACUGGCUUUGAUACAAUCAAUUCUGCAACCAGAGUAUAAAUUUCCCCAAUUUUCUAUGGAUUCUUUGCAGAAAUACUAAUGUAAUUUUUCUGUAGGCAGUUCUUCAUGCUGAGAUAACACAUGCAAAUUUU